CGAAAAUUACAUUUUUCUGUAUAAGAAGAAAUCUCCUCUGCUCAGUUUCCACCGCCGCACUCCUCCACCCAGACCCUCCUCCCUCACGGCCCCACCCACCUCGCGUCCUCGCCGGAACCCUAACGGUGACCGCCUGCCGUGCCCAUCGGCGGCGAUCGCGUUGCUGCGCCCCCGAUGAGUUACCUCUGCGCGGGCAGUUCGUCGUUCGAUGACCCCGACGUGGUUGAGGUGUCUUCGGCCACCGCCGCGGCUGCGGGGUGGGCCUCCGGCCACCACAAGAGGAAGCGGAGCCAGGUUGUCCCUCAAGAAGUAAUUGAAAUUGAUGAUGAUGAUCCUGAUGGAGUCAUAAUUAUUGGUGAUAAAGCACCAUUGGACAAGAAUAAGCAAACUGUUGUAUGCCCUAUGGAUUGGCCAAAGCAUGCCAAGAGUGGUUGGGUUCAGGACAUCGCUGGCCCAAGCACAUAUGCUUCAAAAUAUAUCGAUUCCUGUGUUGACCUGAAAGUGUUUCAAGAUGAGGCAGUUUACAACUAUUCUGAUGACUGUCCCUAUGCGGGAUUUGAAGACUAUAUGUAUGAUGAAGAUGAGUUUGAGGUUGAUGGUUAUGAUGCUCUGCUUAUUGAAAGUGAGUUUAAAUUUGGUUUGUCUGCCAAGUUUGAUAACCUCCAUGCUCCACCUGUUCUGGAGGUUUCUUUACCAUGGAUGCAGAAGACUGCUAUUGAUAUUGCAAAUAAGACCAAACCCACUAAGGUUGUAGAUGAUAAAAUCGAAGAAAAAUACAAGGCCUUCAAACGAUUUGAUACUGUUGAUGAUCAUAGUGAUCAUUAUUAUUCAAAGCCAACGUCGAGAAAGGUUCAGGUGGUAAAAAAGCCAUCAAAAGACUGGGUGAAACGUAUACAGCAUGAGUGGAAAGUCCUAGAGAGAGAUUUGCCAGAUACUAUAUUUGUGAGGGCAUAUGAGGAUAGAAUGGACCUGCUUAGAGGUGUCAUUAUGGGACCGGCUGGGACUCCUUACCAUGACGGGCUCUUCUUCUUUGACAUAUACUUUCCUCCUCGGUAUCCAAAUGUCCCACCGAUGGUGAAUUACCGUGCUGGUGGUUUGCGGCUUAAUCCAAACCUGUAUGAUUGCGGGAAGGUGUGCCUUAGCCUCCUCAACACCUGGGACGGCAGCGGAUGUGAGAAGUGGAAUCCGGCCAAUUCAACUAUGCUGCAGGUCCUGGUCUCUAUCCAGGCUUUGGUUUUGAACGCAAAGCCCUUUUUCAACGAGCCUGGCUACGCUAUGCAUGCUAACACGGCUCACGGGGAGAAGAAAUCGCUGGCAUAUAACGAGGACACGUUCCUGCUAUCCUGCAGGACGAUGUUGUAUUCUCUUCGAAAUCCACCAAAGAAGCAUCUCGAGCCUCAUCAACAAGAAUGGAAAAGUUUCUAUUCCCAAUAUCCGAAAUAAUAGCUUUGGUGGUUUGCUCUGCACAAGCUCUACAAAUGUCUUUUUGGAUAUCAGGUGAAGUCAUCUGAUUAGUACGAAGCAAAUUUGCUACAUUUUUAUCCUUGUCUUUGUACCACUGUAGCAACUCUAAAAAGUUUCCCUUAUUGCUUGAGGUAGAAGAUUCAUCAUGUCCACGAAAAGCAAGUGCUUGCAAUAAAAGGUUCUUGGGAAGGUUGGUUUGGUGUUGAUGAAUCAGUUCGUAUCAAAGAACUUCGAGGAUUUCGUUGCUGGCCAUUUCCGCCAGCAUGGGCGCAACAUCCUUGUCGCUUGCAGAGCCUACCUGGACGGUGCCCAGGUUGGAUGCCUAUCGGGCGAUGGAGUGCAGGACGUUGAUGAAGGCGACACGAGCUGCUCGGUGAGGUUCAAGCAGUCACUGAAGAAACUCGUUGAGGAGCUGUUGACGGAGUUCACUGUGAAGGGCGCGGACUGCGGCAAGUUCCUCACCGAGGAGAAGGCAAAGAGGUCGUCUGGAGCUUGCUCCACAUGGACAGCGGACACCACAUUGAGGCUGUAAGGCGGAGUCGGCUUGCUUUAAGAGUUUGAAGUUAUACAGUAGAAACUUACUAUUCAGGCUACGGCUCCAUUCCGGCCCUCAGUCGAUUGUGGGGUGCCACAUCGCCAUAUAGCAUCUAACUGCUUUGUGUAGGUAGUCUAUUUUGGUGUUUGAAUGCACUAGAGCCUAGUUAGCUGCUAAAAUUAGCUGAAGACAACCAAACAUUAUAUCUGUUCAGCUAUUAGCUAAUUUUAGCAAUUUAGCUAACAAUUAGCUAGUUAUUUGUUAGUUAGCUAAUUUUAGUAGCAUUUUUUAGCCAACAAACUAUUGGUUCUAGUGCAUUCAAACACCCCCUAUCUCUAGCUCUUCUGGUAAAAACAUAUUUGGCGCUCAGGGACAACAUUCUACCGUAGCAUGUAUAAAAUUCGUCUUGGUCAGGUGUA